GGGGUGUGGUGUUUGAGUUGUGGAUAGUGGUUGCGAGCAUCUAGCACGCAAAAUGUGUGGUCUCACUCCUUGUGGGUGGGGCCUGGUUUUGUGUGUUGAUGUGCAAUUUCUUUUGAAACUCAUUUUUUGGUUUU
rnacentral:misc_RNA from 1 species